rnacentral:rRNA from 1 species
GACGAACGCUGGCGGUGUGCUUAACACAUGCAAGUCGAACGGUAAGGCCCUUUCGGGGGUCCACGAGUGGCGAACGGGUGAGUAACACGUGAGUAACCUGCCCUCAUCUCUGGGAUAACAGUCGGAACCGGUUGCUAAUACUGGAUAUGAGCUUGCAAGGCAUCUUGUGGGUUGGAAAGAUUUUUUUUGGUUGGGGAUGGACUCGCGGCCUAUCAGCUUGUUGGUGAGGUAGUGGCUCACCAAGGCUUCGACGGGUAGCCGGCCUGAGAGGGCGACCGGCCACAUUGGGACUGAGAUACGGCCCAAACUCCUACGGGAGGCAGCAGUGGGGAAUAUUGCACAAUGGACGGAAGUCUGAUGCAGCAACGCCGCGUGCGGGAUGACGGCCUUCGGGUUGUAAACCGCUUUCAAUUGUGACGAAGCUUUUUUGUGACGGUAGCAGUAGAAGAAGCACCGGCUAACUACGUG